UAUAAAAGGUAUGUUUUGAUGUUAAGGCAGAGUGAUUGAGGUAACUUCGUUAUUAUCAGGUUUGCUUAGAAUACCAACGCAUCAACAACCAGCAGUUGAGAGUUGAACUGUAUGCUGCAUUGGAUCGACACACAGAUCGUUUGCUGGCUAUAGCCAGACAGAUGCAGGGGAAAUUUGGUCAAAGUUCCCAAAAGCUGUCUUCCAUCUUGAAGGAAUAUUCUCAGCAAACACAACACAUAAAUGUGGACCGGAUUGCAGUUCUGCAGUGUCUACCAGUGCUGCUGCAAGAAGACGACACCAAGCUGUUCUACACCUGCAAGGAGGGUGCAGACCAAGGCACUACUCUUCAGAGAUCUGCUGCCAUUGUGUCCGU